rfam:Rhizophagus irregularis DAOM 181602 strain DAOM 197198 GLOINscaffold_25770_Cont25581, whole genome shotgun sequence.
GGAUUGAUAUUAAAACUGUGAAGGUACUCCUUAUAUAGCUUAAUAAAUUGAUUAAAAUUUUCAUCUUCACGUCCUUCAAAAAUAGGAAGUCC